rnacentral:rRNA from 1 species
GACGAACGCUGGCGGCGUGCUUAACACAUGCAAGUCGAACGGAAAGGCCCUGCUUUUGUGGGGUGCUCGAGUGGCGAACGGGUGAGUAACACGUGAGUAACCUGCCCUUGACUUUGGGAUAACUUCAGGAAACUGGGGCUAAUACCGGAUAGGAGCUCCUGCUGCAUGGUGGGGGUUGGAAAGUUUCGGCGGUUGGGGAUGGACUCGCGGCUUAUCAGCUUGUUGGUGGGGUAGUGGCUUACCAAGGCUUUGACGGGUAGCCGGCCUGAGAGGGUGACCGGCCACAUUGGGACUGAGAUACGGCCCAGACUCCUACGGGAGGCAGCAGUGGGGAAUAUUGCACAAUGGGCGGAAGUCUGAUGCAGCAACGCCGCGUGCGGGAUGACGGCCUUCGGGUUGUAAACCGCUUUCGCCUGUGACGAAGCGUGAGUGACGGUAAUGGGUAAAGAAACACCGGCUAACUACGU